GGAAGAAGAAGAAGAAGAAUUUCGUGGUUUGAGGUUGAAGAUGAUAGGAAAAAGUUCAUGCAAAACCAGCCAUUGCAGAAUCUGGGUGCAACUGUCAACCUCUGGUUGUUUUGUUUGGUUUGAGCUAUCUAGAAGGAACUAAGAGAACACAGGAUUUUCGAGCAAACCAGGUGGAUUUCUGGUGUUCUCUGAUCCUUUGAGUAUUCUGGAAGUACACAAGUCGAAUCAGAAGCUCUAUUGGACCAAGAGGAAAUAGGCCGAGUCUACAAACCAGGGAACUAGAUAAGAUUGUUAUAUUUCCGUUGUCGACGUUGAGUGUACUCCGUGACAACGAUGCUUUCGUUAGUGCUGGGUGGGCCCCACUACGACAAAGACGAUGGGAGUGCCAAGCGGGCUCCACUACAUCGUAGGACGAGUAAACAUUGGUUGUAUUGGGCGUAUCCUACACCACGUCGAUCGGUCAUGUAGAGAUUGAGCUCCUGGUGCCUGAUACACUGCCAACGUCUGCUGAAAGUUCAGAAUCAAACUCCAGUACGUGGUUGGAGUUGUAUUUUGAGUCUGUUCAUGUUGAAAUGUUUUGUAAGGUUUAAAUAAUAUCGUCUUGGAGGUCGUGAUCAUAAAACUCUAGUUGUAUAGGUUUUGGUCGUGAUGUUUAUAUCAGGUUAUUUUACAAACCAAGUGAUGUCAGGGCUGCAUCUUAUGUAUGUUGGGAAGGUUUUUGUGGUUUCCUCUAUGUGGUGUUCCAUGUUGAAUAUUCUAUAUCUAAGAUUGGUAUGUUUAUAGGGCUUAACAUUCAGUAGGGUCAGCAGGGAUCGUUAAAGGAGACGAUGUCUGUUGGCUUCACGCCGUCUUUCGAGCUAAGACAGUAGGUGGUC